GCCUUCAGCAGGACAGGAAUGUUGUAUAGAUACUGACAGGAAAGUGACACUGCCUGGGGAGCUUGGUGACUCACUCUGUAUCAUUCAAAUAUAUGAUGUGAAGAAAUGCAGCAUGACAUGAUUCAGAGUGAAGCCACUGAAACAGUGUUUUUGGCCAGAAUUGUUGGAUGAAUGGCUGAAGAGGGAACAUCUGUACUUACUCAGAGACCUGCACAAUCCUGUUGCUCAGCUCAUGAAGCCAUGGCAGCACCACGGCCGGCACUCUCCCCACCAGGCAGCUCAGCGUGAACGAGGCUUGUCAUCACCUUCACUGUGAGACAGCUGUGACUAAACAGCUGUCUCACAGUGGACGGCAGAAGCAGCUGCAGAGCCAGAAGAGAGUGAGCCACAGCUUAAUGCAAACAUGUAGCAGGAAGGGAGCAGCUUUGAGAAGUUAGGAAGGACCAACAGGAAGAAAGACACACAGAAAACACCACGAUUGAUCCGUCUGUCUGUAAUGAA